AUGCUGCCUAAGAACCUAAUAAUUCCCUUUCCCAGGCCCCCACAACACGUGGGAACUUUUGAUGCUGGGAUAACCUUUGGCUAUAUGUUUGAGAGUGAUAUAUAUAUCUUUCUCCUUUGCACUAAUUCUUCUGCAUCAAAUGUUUUGAAGAACUCUGGCACGUCCUACCUGCAAAGAAAUAUUUCUUUUAUUUUUACGUGCAGUCACAUUCUUUUUGGCUGUGGUUCCCUAAAUUCUACAGUUUAUAGUUUUUCACUGGUUUGCUACUCAGAAGUAGUUUGGGGUUGCAUCUCUUCUGUUACUGAUUUAUAG
rnacentral:rRNA from 1 species